rnacentral:rRNA from 1 species
UACGUAGGCAGCAAGCGUUGUUCGGAAUUACUGGGCGUAAAGGGUGCGUAGGCGGCUUUUUAAGUUUGGUGUGAAAUCUCCCGGCUCAACUGGGAGGGUGCGCCGAAUACUGAGAAGCUAGAGUGUGGGAGAGGAAAGUGGAAUUCCUGGUGUAGCAGUGAAAUGCGUAGAUAUCAGGAGGAACACCGGUGGUGUAAACGGCUUUCUGGACCAUAACUGACGCUGAGGCACGAAAGCGUGGGUAGCAAACAGG